GAGGGUAUAGCUCAGUUGGUAGAGUGCCUGCUUAGUAUGCACAAGGUCCUGGGUUCGAUCACCAGUACCUUCA
rnacentral:tRNA from 1 species